AGGAGUAUAGUUAAGCGGUAUAAUAGCGGUCUCCAAAACCGUUGUCGGGGGUUCGAUUCCCUCUGCUCCUGCCA
rnacentral:tRNA from 2 species